AGAGUUUGAUCCUGGCUCAGGACGAACGCUGGCGGCGUGCUUAACACAUGCAAGUCGAACGGAAAGGCCCCUUCGGGGGUGCUCGAGUGGCGAACGGGUGAGUAACACGUGGGUGAUCUGCCUCGUACUCUGGGAUAAGCCUGGGAAACUGGGUCUAAUACUGGAUAGGACCCGCACUUUAGUGUGUGUGGUGGAAAGUUUUUUCGGUACGAGAUGAGCCCGCGGCCUAUCAGCUUGUUGGUGGGGUAAUGGCCUACCAAGGCGUCGACGGGUAGCCGGCCUGAGAGGGUGGACGGCCACAUUGGGACUGAGAUACGGCCCAGACUCCUACGGGAGGCAGCAGUGGGGAAUAUUGCACAAUGGGCGCAAGCCUGAUGCAGCGACGCCGCGUGAGGGAUGACGGCCUUCGGGUUGUAAACCUCUUUCGACAGGGACGAAGCUUUUUGUGACGGUACCUGUAUAAGAAGCACCGGCUAACUACGUGCCAGCAGCCGCGGUAAUACGUAGGGUGCGAGCGUUGUCCGGAAUUACUGGGCGUAAAGAGCUCGUAGGUGGUUUGUCGCGUCGUCUGUGAAAUUCCGGGGCUUAACUCCGGGCGUGCAGGCGAUACGGGCAUAACUUGAGUGCUGUAGGGGAGACUGGAAUUCCUGGUGUAGCGGUGGAAUGCGCAGAUAUCAGGAGGAACACCGAUGGCGAAGGCAGGUCUCUGGGCAGUAACUGACGCUGAGGAGCGAAAGCAUGGGGAGCGAACAGGAUUAGAUACCCUGGUAGUCCAUGCCGUAAACGGUGGGCGCUAGGUGUGAGGGUCUUCCACGACUUUCGUGCCGUAGCUAACGCAUUAAGCGCCCCCGCCUGGGGAGUACGGCCGCAAGGCUAAAACUCAAAGGAAUUGACGGGGGCCCGCACAAGCGGCGGAGCAUGUGGAUUAAUUCGAUGCAACGCGAAGAACCUUACCUGGGCUUGACAUAUACAAGAUCGGCGUAGAGAUACGUUUUCCCUUGUGGUUUGUAUACAGGUGGUGCAUGGUUGUCGUCAGCUCGUGUCGUGAGAUGUUGGGUUAAGUCCCGCAACGAGCGCAACCCUUGUCUUAUGUUGCCAGCACGUGAUGGUGGGGACUCAUGAGAGACUGCCGGGGUUAACUCGGAGGAAGGUGGGGAUGACGUCAAAUCAUCAUGCCCCUUAUGUCCAGGGCUUCACACAUGCUACAAUGGUCGGUACAACGCGUUGCGAGCCUGUGAGGGUGAGCGAAUCGCUGAAAGCCGGCCUCAGUUCGGAUUGGGGUCUGCAACUCGACCCCAUGAAGUCGGAGUCGCUAGUAAUCGCAGAUCAGCAACGCUGCGGUGAAUACGUUCCCGGGCCUUGUACACACCGCCCGUCACGUCAUGAAAGUUGGUAACACCCGAAGCCCAUGGCCCAACCAGUUUCUGGGGGGAGUGGUCGAAGGUGGGAUCGGCGAUUGGGACGAAGUCGUAACAAGGUAGCCCGUACCGGAAGGUGCGGCUGGAUCACCUCCUU
rnacentral:rRNA from 1 species